GCCCCGCGCCAGCUUCUGCAGCUCGACGGGCACCACGGCGCUGGGGCAGUGCUUCUCGAUGUAGUCCUGGAAUCCCUGCACUCCCAUGGAAGAAAACUAGUCCACAGCAUGUGCCACUAGGAGCCUGGCUGUCAGCAUCCUUGGGGUCAGGGAGGCACAGCAGAACUGAGCACUGCCGGCUCAUGCCCAGCUGCAAACACAACCCUCCCUUCCCAAAGAGAAGAAGAGAGAGGGGAAAAGCAUAAGGGGAAACAAGAAGCCAGUUCCACAGCAAAAGGAACGUGGUCGCAGACUGUGGAACCGACUAGCCACUGUGACCUGGAAGCCUGAUGCAUCUUGCUGUGGAGCUACUGCCCCAGACCUUCCCUGUUCUUGCUGCUGUAGAAGAGCUCCCAGCCUUCACCUUGCUGCCAGGUCUGCAAGUGGCCAUGGGCUCACCAUGUGGCAAACACCUGCCUCAGCUGCCAGCCUGUUCCUACAAACCCCACACCUUGCACAGAGCAGCCAAGCUGAGGUGAUGCCAGGAAAGUGAAAAUCUUGUUAGAGGGGACUUCCAAGGCCUGGUCAACCUAUGCCUGGACUACUGAAGACAGCAGCAAUCUCACUGCAGAUUUCAGGGAGAGCAAGAGCAGACCCUGGGAGUGAAGAAACAUAAUUUGCAUUCACUUUGGCAGAUGGCUGUGUUUUAGGAGAACCUACAAACAGUUUUUGAGGCUCCAGGGUAGACUGAGAAGGGAGUAAAAUAAGUGAAAGAAAACAAGGUAUGUUUUUUCAUCCUUCUUAUGGUCCAGGUUUCCAUCUUCAGAGGAUCCCAUGAGAUGCAGCAGCGGUGCUAAGGAGCCUCAAUUAGACUGCUCUGUUCCCAGUGCUGGAGAUGAAAAGCUCCCUUUUAUUUGAAGUCAAUGUACAUUACAUAAACAUAAACCCAUUCAAACCAACAGUCAUUCUCUAUAUGAAGUUAUUUGGUAUUUUUAUCUGCACUUAUGCACAGCCAGUUUCAGUGGGGUCUUAUUCUGAACCUCAGGUUUCCAUAAUCAACAGAAAAUAACAGUUGACUAUUUUGUCUGCUCAUCCUGAUUCUGCAGUCCCUGAAGACCAACAUUUUCCUUUGCAAUAGACACUCCACAUUUUUUUGGAAGAAAGAGCUCAAGAACUUAAAUAGGAGGAAGGCUCAGAAACAUUGACAACACCUUUCAGGAAGAAAAUGAAUAUAAGAUUAAUGAAGCUGGUAAAAAAGAAUUACAAAUAAAACCCCAGGUGGUCCAACACAGGUUGUAAAAACCAGUAUAAGUGGCUGACCAAAUAAUCAUCGUGGAAUCAUAAUUUAAAGGGAAGCUUCACUUUGGAGAAGAGGAAUAUUUAUAGAGAGGCUAAUUUUAUCUUAUUGAAUACUAUUAAAAUACCUAUUAAAUGUUACAAGUUUUAAUCCAAAAUAUUGCAGUGCAGCUCAGAGGAGAGCCAGCACAGGCUAUGAACUCACUCACUCACUCAAGUGGUGAUCUAUGUCUCAUACCAUAAAAAAAACACUAUUUCAAGAGCCCAGGCAAGCUGCAUGGGUAGAGCUGUGUCCUUGCUGCAACUUAUAGUUUUGCUAGUGACAUCAGUGAAAUGACAUUUUCCUCUGGUUUUAGCCCAUACAAGUUUAAAUACUGGGCCAGGAAACCCACAGCAGUUUUACUGCCUGCAAUACCAGUGAUUUUAAACACAUUUGCUUAGGAGGAUUCCUAAAUGGAAUUUGAAGAGUGAUUUGUUGUCGCGGCGGAGCGAUGGUGGAGUGCCAUGACCUUCCAGAGAAGUGUCUCGAGAGACGUGCUGGUGGCACAGGAAAUGUUCUUGCUCCUGGGCAAAAGUGAUUUUAGCUCCUUUAGGAAUCGGUGACAUUGAAGGAAGGGACGGGAGCCUCGUAUGAGAUUCCAAAGAGAAGCUUUAUUGAUCUCCUCUCCAAAGGGGUCCAGAGACGAGAAACUCCAAACAGGAUUUCCUAAUUGUGCCAUGUUAUUUUGUAUGGUAGCCUCGCUAUACCAGGACAGAAUUUGCACUUAAGACUUUGGGCAUAUGAGGUGAGUUGUUUCCCUUCCCCAUUCCACUGGAAAAUCAACAAAAGCAAGCCUUCAAUAGCAUGAAUUCCUGCCUUAGCAGGCACCUAAAUCCUGCAAUGAUAAUUUAUCUUUGAACUCGUUAGUAGCGGUGCAUAAUUAACAAGUAAGCUGCUGGAACAUGCAGUUACUCUGUAUUUACCUGGUAUUUGCCGUGCAGUUGUGGUGUAAUUACAGAGAUUAUACCUGCUCUCUCGAAUAGCAGUACAUGGUGUACCUCAUUUUGUGCUAUUUCACACCAGCAAAGCCGAGCCCGGUGCGACGGAGCCGAACAAAUGUUUCAUUCUGCAGUGGGUGCAAGGGAGCCACAGUAAUAUAGACAUGAUGCAACUUCAUAUAAACAAUGAAUGGGCUUGGGACAAAUGUUUGAAGACUUCUUGCAACAAAUUGCUUGCGAAUGAUCUACAGCAAGAGUUACUUCCAGAAUAGUUACUGCACAUGUGUUUGGAAAGAAGAUAUUCAAGCAAAUCAAUCUGCUUGUAGACAAAUUAUGAAAAAAGGAAAAAUUCCUCUAAAAAAAUAUGAAACUGCAGAUUAUUCACUCAGCUCAGUUGGCAACAACCAAUUUUUGUGGUAGUAGGAGCUCAUGGAGUAGGAGAGAGAAAGAUAUUGGGACUGAGACACUUUCAUGUCACCAAAGUCAACAGUGGGAAGAAGGUGCAUUUCUGCAAGAAUGUUCUAGGCAAUCUCCCCAGCAACAGAAGGACAUGCUGCAGAAGGUGAUGUUCAGGAGCCAUUUCACCAGCCCACGAGGAUACAGGAUGAGGAUGUCUGCAUGCAGCUGAGUUGUGCCAAAACCACCUUGACUUCCUGUCUCUUGUACCUUUCUUUCCAUGUGCUGUGCAGGCACGAAGGAACAGGUCAUCCUUGUGCAGAACAUCCCCAGUGCUAAAUCAUGAUCCUCAUCUCCUUUCCCAGCUUCAGCCAGAGGUUAUUUUUCACCACCAACCUAAAAGGGCUCAGAAGAAAACUCUGUCUUUGGUUUAAAUAAUUAACUUUGACCUGAAUAUUCUGAGAGGCCCCACUAGCCUCAGCCUUCACAGUAGUUUCUAAAAUAAAGUAAAAGCAAUAGAAUAAGAUGAAACAACAACAAAUUAAAUUAAAUAAAAUAAAUUAGUCUAAGUCAUCAUCAGUUUUACAACUGAGCUCUUCUGCCACACUCACAGCUCCCACUUGGGAUCAGACCUGCUGCUUCUCCAUCCUGGUUAGUUUGCGCCCAAGGCAAUGCCAAGACAGCAGUUUAUUUCAGCUGAGAAUUUGAUACCAGGCUAUUUUGGGACUGAGUGAAACUUGUCCUCCAUAAUUACUUUACAAUCAGGGAAGAGCUCUUUCUAGAGCAGCCUGAUGUGAUACAAAACAUGCCUUAAAUAUUCUGUGUUUCUACUGUGUAACAGCAAGAAAGGACAGUGGCCUGGAGAGUGCAGGAUGUUCACUUGAGAGGCCACAAAGGUGCUAUGGCUGUGGCAGAACGGGCAGAAAUAGACCAUUUAACCAGCCCUGAGGCUGCUAACAGGGAACCAAGAAAAUCCACAGGAGAGCUGGAAAGUUUAUGAUGUGUGAUAACACAUCCCUCUGUAGCACCACGUGGAAUCUUAUUACAAAAACGUAGGUACUUUAAUAAAUGAAACAUCAACCUGU